UGCUCAGUAGCUCAGAGGCAGAGCAGGUGACUGUUAAUCACUUGGUCGUUGGUUCGAUCCCAACCUGAGCAGCCA
rnacentral:tRNA from 1 species